UACGAAGGGGCUAGCGUUGCUCGGAAUCACUGGGCGUAAAGCGCACGUAGGCGGAUCUUUAAGUCAGGGGUGAAAUCCCAAGGCUCAACCUUGGAACUGCCUUUGAUACUGGGGAUCUCGAGUCCGGAAGAGGUGAGUGGAACUGCGAGUGUAGAGGUGAAAUUCGUAGAUAUUCGCAAGAACACCAGUGGCGAAGGCGGCUCACUGGUCCGGUACUGACGCUGAGGUGCGAAAGCGUGGGGAGCAAACAGGG
rnacentral:rRNA from 1 species